rnacentral:rRNA from 1 species
CACGUAGGGAGCAAGCGUUGUCCGGAUUUAUUGGGCGUAAAGAGCUCGUAGGCUGUUCGAUAAGUCGGGUGUGAAACCUCCAGCUCAACCUGGAGACGCCACCCGAUACUGUCAUGACUAGAGUCCGGUAGGGGAGCGUGGAAUUCCUGGUGUAGCGGUGAAAUGCGCAGAUAUCAGGAGGAACACCGAUGGCGAAGGCAGGUCUCUGGGCAUUAACUGACGCUGAGGAGCGAAAGCAUGGGGAGCGAACAGG